rnacentral:tRNA from 1 species
GUGGACGUAGUAUAAAGGUCAGUACGACAGUCUCAUAAUCUGUAGAUUCGGGUUCGAGUCCCGGCGUCGACA